UGGGGAAUAUUGGGCAAUGGACGCAAGUCUGACCCAGCGACGCCGCGUGCGGGAAGAAGGCCUUCGGGUUGUAAAGCUCUUUCAGCAGGAACGAAACGGUGGUCCCUAAUACGGGUUACUAAUGACGGUACCUGAAGAAGAAGCACCGGCUAACUAUGUGCCAGCAGCCGCGGUAAUACAUAGGGUGCAAGCGUUGUCCGGAAUUAUUGGGCGUAAAGAGCUCGUAGGUGGUUCGAUACGUCGGAUGUGAAAAUCAGGGGCUCAACCCCUGACCUGCAUCCGAUACGGUCGAGCUAGAGUUUGGUAGGGGAGACUGGAAUUCCUGGUGUAGCGGUGGAAUGCGCAGAUAUCAGGAGGAACACCGAUGGCGAAGGCAGGUCUCUGGGCCAAUACUGACACUGAGGAGCGAGAGCGUGGGGAGCGAACAGG
rnacentral:rRNA from 1 species